CACACCAACAUCAAUUGUCAAGCAGUGAUGGAGGACAAACACAGAGACAAUGACAUACGUACAUACAUACAAAUAUAAUUGGCAUGAAACUGCUGAUAUUUUGCAUCAUUGACUGAAGCGGGAAAACUCAGCUGCAAAUAUUCCAUGUAUCGUGUCUUUGUCUAAUUUCCCAUCUAUUAAGUUUCUGUCUAGUUUCCUGUUUGCUUUCAUCUAACUUGUAAUCUUUCUGUUCAACCCUUGAUAUAUAUAUAUCGGGUACAUGCCAUGAGUAAUUACUCAGGGUAGGCAGCUGGUGACGUUUAAUGUAGUAAAACACACACAAAAAUAAGCAAAGCACAGACACGCAACUGAGUUGGAGACAGAUUUGUUUCUGCCUUUAUAGCGCAUAAAGUAAAACGUUGUUGUAGGAGUGUACGCAGCAUGUGAACUACAGCAGUAUUAUGCAUAGCUUAAAUACUGAGAUAGAAAAGCAGGGGCAAAUUAUGCCAAACUAAUCUACAAAAAAAUAAACUAUUUUGCAUUUUAUGCAUAGUAAUCAGAGUAACCUUCAUAAUUUUAUUGAAUAAGGUGCAUCUUUUGCCAUAAGAGGAAAAUGUUACUAUCGCUCUAUUUUAUUCAGGGUAGGCACUGCCUACCUUGCCUACCCAGGUGACACAUCCCUGAUAUAUGUGUGUGUCUGUGUGUGUGUGUGU